rnacentral:rRNA from 1 species
UACCGGGGGCGCUAGCGAUGUUCGGAUUUACUGGGCGUAAAGGGCGCGUAGGCGGCUGCGCAAGUCAGGCGUGAAAGGCCUUGGCCUAACCCGGGAAUUGCGCUUGAGACUGGGCUGGCUUGAGAGCGGGAGAGGAGGGUGGAAUUCCCAGUGUAGAGGUGAAAUUCGUAGAUAUUGGGAAGAACGCCGGUGGCGAAGGCGGCCAUCUACGACGCAACUGACGCUGAGGCGCGAAAGCGUGGGGCGCAAACAGG